rnacentral:rRNA from 1 species
GACGAACCGUGCGAACGUUGUUCGGAAUCACUGGGCUUAAAGGGCGCGUAGGCGGGCGGGCAAGUCAGGGGUGAAAUCCCACGGCUCAACCGUGGAAGUGCCUUUGAUACUGCCGGUCUGGAGGGAGGUAGGGGCGUGCGGAACUUCCGGUGGAGCGGUGAAAUGCGUAGAUAUCGGAAGGAACACCGGUGGCGAAAGCGGCGCGCUGGAUCUCUUCUGACGCUGAGGCGCGAAAGCGUGGGGAGCGAACAGG